ensembl:lncRNA
GGUCCUGUUCUCACUCUUCAACCCACGUCAUUGGAAGGGGAGGACUUGGAUCAGCAGGAUCCUUGGAUCCUAAUUGAAUCCAAGAACAAAAAGAAGGCCAAGCCUAGAAGGCCAAAAAAAUCCAAUUAGAGGAUCUGGGAACCUCAGUUCCUCUAGGAAUAAGACCAGAAAUAACUCAAAAGGCAAAGGAAAUCCAGAAUAGACUAGCAGGGUUGACACCCAAAGAGUGGCCCCCUGCCUACACCACACUACAUGUAACACAGCCACUGAAUUUAUGGAUUUGUUGCAACAAUUUAAAUACCUCAGGAGAGUGUACCAGCCUGGCUUUUGAGAUUAUGGGAUAUGGGGGCUGAAAGUGUGGUAAGUAAUGGGCCUGAGAUUUCCAGACUUGCAUCCAUUACCACAAAUCUGGCCCCCAGACUCAGGCUGUAUGUGACGGUAAUACAUAAUGAAGAAAUCCAUUAUUUCAGUGGAUAAUGGUAGCAUGUAGAAUUACAUGGCCAAACAAAAGUGACAUACCAAUAGAUACUGUUUUAUGGACCUCAGUCCAUGAAGAACUCCAAAAUUAUAUUAGAGAACUAGUGAUAAAGGAGGCCAUUUAUGAUGAUGCAUUUGAGACUCCUGACCUGUUUAAAUUUUUGGCAGGAAUGAAGGACCUCAUACUACAACAAGCCCCUCCCCACCACUAUGGCACACUGGUGUCCAUACUGAACCCUUUAGUGGACUUAGAGGUCAUCAUCUGGCAAGGUGCCCAGUUGGUGGCUGAUCUGGGAAAGACAGAGAACCCUCAGAACAGGUGCAAUUACUGAAUGUUGGAAGGGGCUGAGGUCCUCUCUGUUAACUAAAAGCAGGAGAUGAGCUGCAUGGACUCCUCAACUGGGGACCCUUAUGGGUAUCCUGAAAGCAGAUGCUUAAUGACUUAAUCUGGGCUGGGGUUCAAUUUGCUAAAAUUGGGCUGAUGAUCAAUCAUGUCCUCCUCCAGCUAUGGAGUCAGUUGAAGGACAAGUAAAAGUUUCAAAAUAUCCCUGAAAAAGCAAGGGUAAGAAUUACUGAAAAAAAAUACGAACGAGAACAUAGAACCUGGAAGAUUUCCUAGUUCCCAAUAAAAGGAAAAGCCUCCUCAAGUAACUUGGGCCACUAUGCCUGAGCCACCUGAGGAACAAGAAUUGGCAAUUACUCAGUUAAUGGCAUGGCACAAGAUGCCAGCCCCCCUGCACCUAGGGCCACUGGGCAGGACCAGAGGCCCUAUGUCAAACUGAAUAUUUUUUUGGUCCCAAAAGAAUAUACAGCAAGUUAUGGCACUAGUUGACAUGGGCCCUGAAGAUGCUACAGACAAUAUGGGCAUCUCCACUUAGGAUCCAAAUUAUAGGCACCAAAAGUUGGAUAAGACCUCAAAUCAGCAAUGAAAAUCUGCUCACUGGUUCUGGAAAUGUAGAAUUAGAAUGGCCUUGGAAGUUGCAAGUAGGACCAAAGUGGUGUGGCCUUCUUGAACCCUGGGUGAGAUUAUUGAAGGUUGGGGGAUCACUAGUCCUUUCAAUAUUAGGUACAUGGCCUGCAGACACUGGUCAGCAUCCCAGUUUUCAUUGCUAAGGGGACCUUAAUUAUGUCUCUUGAAAAUCAUGAUCUCCCUCCCACCCUUGGUACCCAAUAUGGUUAUGAAGCCUCAGAUAUAGGGCCAAAGGGUAUGGUGCAGGCAGCUGGGACGUGCCCCAGGACAAGCUCAAGUGUUGACCCAGAACAGGAAUGUGACCUGUAUCUUGCCAUGGAGGGUGGACUUCCCCCUUUUGGUACCUCUGAAACAUCUAUGCUGUUAGUCUCUUUGAGUCCACAGGAUCACUGGGAGGAGCAAUGUGACAUUAAGAUGCUCCAGUGUCACUACAAGAUCAGAGUGAGACCUGAUGGUGGACUAUAUUGGGCAGAUAGAAUGAGAGCUGGACCUUCCCUGGUCCAAGCAACAGUGUACCUCCAGAAGAACCAUUGAGUACUGGCCCACAAAGGAACAUAUUCUUCAACCAAUCAUCAAUCAUCUCAUAUUUUGUCAACCUACACCAUGAUGGGGAAAUGGUACAAAGCAUUGUGGUAUACUGGACUGCUGUAAUGGAAAGGACUUACCUUCAAUCUGCUCAAUCACUGGUUCCAACUGUCAAGGGUUGGAGUGUAGUGGAAGUGCCAGGUCAUGGCCUGAAACAGUGAUUAAGCACCUGGUGGGAAGGCAGGGUCAACCCAGGGGAUCUCAGGUGUGUGCAAUGACUCUGAGUGAAUGGAAGGGGUGGAGCCAGGAUCCUCAUUUUAAGGGUUGGCGGUGAAGGUAAGGGUAUCUUGCUGGAGAUCCCUGCUUAUGUGAGGCCUUCCCGAGGGGAAGAUGCAAACAAUUUUUUCAACUUAGAGCAAGAUUUUAAACACUUUUGGCCUUUUUAAGUCUUCCAAAAUGAGGCAAGGAGAACACACUGUUCAUAACUCUUGGUCUUCUCCUGUGUGUGACAGUAAUUCCUCAAAACAUUGUGCAAGACAAGUGAGAAGUGUCUUCAUCAAGGUAUUGAACUAAUGCCAGUAGCCCCUUAGGAAUGGUUACAAGGAGUUGUCACCACAACGUGACCUCCACUGAUGUUCCAAAGCCCAUUUGAAGCUGCAAGAGGAGUUGCCAAAACAAACAUCCAUACAAAAUAUACAAGGACUUGAAAUGAUGCCCAAUGUGUUUUUAUAUGUAUUGUAUCCUUUGUAUUUUUGUAAGAGGAAAGAUAAUGAAGGGAGUCAAAAAUGUGAAAUGUGUGCUCAUUCACAAUAUGAAUGAUGUUUACAAAACAUUCUUCUUAACAAUAGAGUUG